UACGUAGGGUGCAAGCGUUAUCGGAAUUACUGGGGCGUAAAGCGUGCGCAGGCGGUGAUGUAAGACAGUUGUGAAAUCCCCGGGGCUCAACCUGGGACUGACAUCUGUGACUGCAUGCGUGGAGUGCGGCAGAGGGGGAUGGAAUUCCGCGUGUAGCAGGUGGAAAAUGCGUAGAUAUGGCCGGAGGAACACCGAUGGCGGAAGGCAGCUCGCUGGGACGGUGACUGAGCUGAGGCGCAAAGCGUGGGGAGCAA
rnacentral:rRNA from 1 species